rnacentral:misc_RNA from 1 species
AAGUUGUAACAAGGUCUCUGUUGGUGAACUAGCAGAGGGAUCAUUACAAGUGACCCCGGUCUAACCACCGGGAUGUUCAUAACCCUUUGUUGUCCGACUCUGUUGCCUCCGGGGCGACCCUGCCUUCGGGCGGGGGCUCCGGGUGGACACUUCAAACUCUUGCGUAACUUUGCAGUCUGAGUAAACUUAAUUAAUAAAUUAAAACUUUUAACAACGGAUCUCUUGGUUCUG